GCGUACGCGUUAUGCAACCUACCUAUAAUUGGGGAAACAACCCCGAAGAAAUCGGGGCUAUUACCGCAUAACAUCAUGAAGUGGCAUCACUUUAUGAUCAAACCUCAGGGUUAUAGAUGGGCAUGCGUGACAUUAGCUAGUUGGUGAGGUAACGGCUCACCAAGGCUACGAUGUCUAGGGGGUCUGAGAGGAUGAUCCCCCAACUGGUACUGAGACACGGACCAGACUCCUACGGGAGGCAGCAGUAAGGAAUAUUGGUCAAUGGGCGAAAGCCUGAACCAGCCAUGCCGCGUGCAGGAUGAAGGCCCUCUGGGUUGUAAACUGCUUUUAUCUGGGAAGAAACACCCCGUUUCUACGGGGCUUGACGGUACCAGAGGAAUAAGCACCGGCUAACUCCGUGCCAGCAGCCGCGGUAAUACGGAGGGUGCAAGCGUUAUCCGGAUUUACUGGGUUUAAAGGGUAGCGUAGGCGGGCCUUUAAGUCAGUGGUGAAAUCUCCCGGCUUAACCGGGAAACUGCCAUUGAUACUAUUGGUCUUGAAUUCAGUUGAGGUGGGCGGAAUGUGUCGUGUAGCGGUGAAAUGCUUAGAUAUGACACAGAA
rnacentral:rRNA from 1 species